UUUUUGGCGACCCAGGACGGGACCUUGUGGGCGCAGCCAGGACCCCGCGACCCGAUCACGCUCCAGCCGGCACCGGGUGAUUUCUCGGGGAGCCCAUCGGAGCCGCGACCCUCGCCGCUCACAACGACCCCUGGUGAGAGCUCGGCUCCGAAGUGUUCUCGUGUAGAACAGACCACUGGCCCUGGAGAAUCCAGUCCACAAUAUCGAACCAGGAGAUGAGGUAUACAUCAAAACCUGGAACGAAGAACCACUAAAAGAGAAGUGGACUGGUCCCCAUCAGGUACUGCUAACCACCUUUACAGCAGUCAAAGUGGCUGGAGUGGAACCCUAGAUACACUACACGCGUGUGAAGAAGGUCCCUCGUGGAGUCCAGUCGUGGGCUGUAGAAACUUUUAGACCAACAAAGCUGAGGCUGAAACGUCUGUAACUGUUCAAAUAGUAUUGGUAACUGUGCUCAUGCUCUUCCUGUGGGUAAUGUUAAUUUCAUGGAUACUAAUGUCACCAGUAGGGAUUGCUGUUACUUUGAGAUAUGGGAUACAGAAGGGUCAACUAACAACUCUUCAUUCUAGAAUGAAGAGAGAGAUACAGGCAAAAACACAAGUAAUAGAAAUUUCUAAUGAAAUUCAGGCUGAGAAUGUAAUGAUUAGAUUGGUCAGAGACUUUGCUAAAAUGCAUAAUACCAGCAGAAUAACGGCCUGUCUGCCAAUACCAAAGGCAGCAGGGGACCCAGUAAGCUGGGGAAUAAUAACGUCAAAAUUACCUGAAAUAGGAGAGAACAAAACAAUUAACUGUAAACAAGUACCAGAGUCAAGGGUGGUGGUCAGAGAAUACUAGAAGAUAACAGAAGAUUCCUAUAUGCAGCCCAUGAGAAAGUCAGAGUGCAUUCUUAGUAAUAGCAAAUUGGGACAAAUCAUAGAGUGGUGGGUUAAGGACCAAGACCUUGCAAAAUGGCAAUGUUGGUUUCUACGCUAUCAAAAGAUCAGGGACAACGCUACAGAAAGUGUUGUAGUGUAGAAAUGUGAAGAGAAAGAUUAGAAAGGACUGGAACCUUGGGACAGUGCAUGGUCUGUGAGCAUCCUCCAGAAAUUCCAAUAUAUAGAAAGCACACCCUGGUGCAUUAAAUAGAAAGGCUCUGAAAAUGAGACAGAUCCCACAGUAGCAAAUACUGAUACUAGCAGUCAGAAAGAGGCAAAUAAGGUAAGUUGGUGGGUAUGUAAGAAAAUUUAUGAUUGCACCUCUGACAAUCUAGAAAUGAAACAGUGGUCACCAUUGGCAAUAGCCUUACGAAUUAGUUGUGCCUGCAGGAAAAUUAAACACAAACAAGGCAAAAUAGAUUCUAAGAUUAUAGUAGGAUGUAGCAGGAGUACAAUUCGAAGUCCAGGACCAUUUGUAUGGGCAAUGAGUGAUGGCACAUGGACAACACACUUGCCUAUGGACAGGGAAGUAAGAGAAAUCACCCUGGGCCUUCCCACUUUAUGUCCAAUUUGGAAGAAAUCCCCAUUUAACAAGAGCAGUGAAGCCUUGCAAAUAAAAGCAAAGCGAGACGUCUCAGAAGACAAGAACCCAGAUGACACUUGGAAGGAACCCUCUAGUGGAGUAAAGAUUGGGUAGGCCCUAGAAUCCUUGUUUGGUCCCAUUGCAAAUUAUCGAAAUAGAGAAAUGCUAUAUAGACUCACAGGUCAGGUAGACAGAUUAGCAAGAAUCACACGAGAGGGAUUUAGGGAACUCAAUGUGCAAUUACAGGCCACCACCAAAAUGACCCUGCAAAAUCGUUUGGCUUUAGAUAUGUUACUUUGAAAGAACACGGAGUGUGUGGAUAUUUAAAGGGACAAAUCGACCAUUGCUGCAUCCACAUCCCAAAUGUAACUGCAGAUGUAGAACAUGACAUCAGUCAGUUAAAACAAAUAGAGCAUGAGGCACAAAAGGAACAAAAAGAUUUAGCUACUAGCUGGUUAGGUAAAAUCUUUGAAGGAUUAAGAUGGAAUGUGAGUUCAUGGAUAAAGUCUAUCCUUGAAAAUCUGAUAAUUUUACUGAUUAUAUUUUUAGUAAUUUGGUUAGUUUACAGAAUCCUGAAGAGAGAGAUACAGAAAAAAGCAUCUUAGAACAGGACCAUAAUGAAGGCAUUGGCACGGAACCCAGCACCUUCAAUCCGCAACAACAUCCCGGACAAAGCCUAUGACAACAGAGGAUUUGAAGAUGAACAUCCAGUAUGAACUCUGAAGCCUAAUGGACUGUAUUAAGUGAAAGCAUUUACACUUAGUAUAUUAGAGUGAAAAUACUUUCAAAGAGGGGAAUGUUGGUGGAGGGUUAAAAAAUAUAAUUUCUAGAUUGAGUAAUGUAUAGGGGGAGGAAAGUAGAGAACGUACAACUGGAACUUACGCAGCUAGCUGGGAACAAGCGUCAGUUUCUGUAAACAGCUCCAUGCUAUUGUUUUAACCAAAUCAAGUGUGGAUCAGGGUAGAAGCGUAGGUAUGAUUUAAGAUAGUAACUAAGGAAUAGGAUAAUCAGUAUCUAGGGGUGGGGGUUAGUUAACAUGUGUAUAAUUUAAACUAUAAAAAUCACGAAUCGACUCUGUAUGCUUUGGACAUCAGAUUUGGGUGUAUUAUCACCCCGGUGUCCCGCGCGCUGGAAUAAAGAACCGCAUAUGAUCGCC